rnacentral:rRNA from 1 species
AGAACGAACGCUGGCGGCAGGCCUCAAACAUGCAAGUCUAGGGGGCGUAGCAAUACGUCACCGGCGGACGGGUGCGUAACACGUGGGAAUGUACUUACUGGUUCGGAACAACUCAGGGAAACUUGAGCUAAUACCGAAUGUGCCCGAAAGGGGAAAGAUUUAUCGCCAGUAAAUCAGCCCGCGUCCGAUUAGCUAGUUGGUGGGGUAAAGGCCCACCAAGGCGACGAUCGGUAGCUGUUCUGAGAGGAAGAUCAGCCACACUGGGGCUGAGACACGGCCCAGACUCCUACGGGAGGCAGCAGUAGGGAAUCUUGCGCAAUGGGCGAAAGCCUGACGCAGCGACGCCGCGUGAGGGAAGAAGGCCUUCGGGUUGUAAACCUCUUUCAGGAGGGACGAAGCCACUCGGGUUAAUAGCCCAGAGGGUGACGGUACCUCCAGAAGAAGCCCCGGCUAACUACGUGCCAGCAGCCGC